AAAUAUUUAAAUUUCCAUUAUUAUUAUAACAAAAUCUUUCAGAGUAAUGAUUCUCAUUAUGGAGUCAUUUGAUGAUUAAGACCAGUUGGCAAAGGAAAAAAUUGUGAUUUAGAAAUUAUGUGAUAAUUAUGAAUUGGUCUUAAGCUACAGUGUUCAUUGAUCACUUUUUAAAAUUAUGAAUGGAUUCUAUUACUUUUUAUAUGACCAGAUUACAUUAAUACUAGCAUAAUUAUGAUUUCAAAUUUUUACAAAUCAGACUUAAUUCUGAAUUCAGUUAUUAGUUUUGAUAUUGCUGAAAUAUUUUAAACUUCAGCCUCUUUUUUAACAUAUUAAAAAUACUCUUUGAAUCACUGACGCAAAAUGAAAGGCAACAAACAUAAUAAUUAGGUUAUAAUUGUUUUAAAAGUGUAUUCUUUUCCUCUGUUUUAGGAACAAGCACAAUAUAAAAAACAAUUAGAGCAGUUAAACGAGGAUAUAAUACAGCUUCACUAAAUAAGAAGGAACUCACACUUAAAGAUGUGGAAUGUAAAUUCUACAAAAUGAAAACUGCUUAUGAAGAGGUUACAACUGAGUUAGAAGAAUAUAAGGAAGCCUUUGCAGCAGCGUUGAAAGCUAACAAUUCCAUGUCAAAAAAAUUAACUAAGUAAAGAAAGCCUUUUAUGGUUCACUGAAGACAGUCAACCCCUGCAAAAUCUAGAAUCUGAUGACUGGAUCUUCUGAGAACAUCAGAGAAGGACUGCCCUUGCCAUCCACAUGACAGCAAAACUUUAAAACCUUAAACUUUGGGUUCAUAGUCUCACAACUCAGAAGGGUCCUUCCACACUUGGAACCAUAUACCCACUGGAACCCUUAAGGUAAAGCUAACAAGGACAGUUCCCCCCCAGAAGAAGAUGGCAUCCUUAAUGUGAACAGCUUUUCCCAAGAUCACAGAUCAAGACUUCUCUACUAUCAUGAGACACUUAUCUGAAGUAUCUGUGCAGCUGCUAACACUUAUAACAUGUGGAGAAAACAUGGGGUAUUAUAAAGAUUUGGUUGUAGGGAAUUAACAGAAAAACCCACUAGUUAAGCAAGUAAACUCUUUAUCUAAUUCAUUCUUUAAUCUAUUUGAUUUUAGGUGGUUUGAUUUAUGGGGACCCUGAGUUAGGAGCAUAUACCAAAUUCUUGGUGUUAUCCCAAUAGUCAUAAGAGUCUCCCUGGUGCACUGUACUUACUCAAAUGUUUUACGAGUUUGCAUGCAGGCAUCUCUAAAAUAUCAAAUGGUAUCUCUUCAACUGGAAUGACAAGAGAUUAAAAAAAAAGUGCAACCAUAAGGACACCAUAACCUAUGAGUGACAUGCUAAACCGGAAACCCAAAACAAUGAGAGUGACAUGCUAAACCAGAAACCCAAAACAAUGGGAGUGAUGUACUAAAACUGGAACCCAAAACAAUGGGAGUGACGUGCUAAACCAGAAACCCAAAACAAUGGGAGUGACUUGCUAAAACUGGAACCCAAAACAAUGGGAGUGACGUGCUAAAACCGGAAAUGAAAACAAUGGGAGUGAUGUGCUUAAACCAGAACCCAAAACAAUGGGAGUGACCUGCUAAACCAGAAACCCAAAACAAUGGGAGUGACUUGCUAAAACUGGAACCCAAAACAAUGGGAAUGACGUGCUAAAACCGGAAAUGAAAACAAUGGGAGUGAUGUGCUUAAACCAAGAACCCAAAACAAUGGGAGUGACCUGCUAACCAGAAACCCAAAACAAUGGGAGUGAGUGUAAAACCAGAAACCAAAACAAUGGGAGUGAUGUGCUUAAACUGGAACCCAAAACAAUGGGAGUGACCUGCUAAACCAGAAACCCAAAACAAUGGGAGCAUCCUGCUAAACCAGAAACUGAAAACAAUGGGAGUGACCUGCUAAACCAGAAACCCAAAACAAUGGGAGCAUCCUGCUAAACCAGAAACCCAAAACAAUGGGAGUGACGUGCUAAACCAGAACCCAAAACAAUGGGAGUGAUGUGUUAAAACAGGAACCCAAAACAAUGAGAGUGACGUGCUAAACCAGAAACCCAAAACAAUGGGAAUGACGUGCUAAAACCGGAACCCAAAACAAUGGGAGUGACGUGCUAAACCAGAAACCCAAAACAAUGGGAAUGACUUGCUAAAAUCGGAACCCAAAACAAUGGUAACUAAGAGUGAUGCUAAGGCCCUACAUUUUGGUCACACUCUCAACUAAGUGAGAACUUGACUGAAAAGGAGGAUUUUUUUUUCUAAGACAGAGUCUUGGUCUGUCCCCCAGAGUGGAGUGCAGUUGCACGAUCUCGGCUCACUGCAAGCUCCGCCUCCCGGGUUCAGGCCAUUCUCCUGCCUCAGCCUCCUGAAUAGCUGUGACUACAGGCACCCGCCACCACACUUGGCUAAUUUUUUGUAUUUUUAGUAGAGAUGAGGUUUCACCGUAUUAGCAAGGAUGGUCUCAAUCUCCUGACCUCGUGAUCUGCCCACCUCAGCCCCACAAAGUGCUGGGAUUACAGGUGUGAGCCACCGCACCCAGCCAAAAGGAGGAAUUUUUUAAGCAAAAUUAUGGGAGGCCAUUGUUUUGAACUAAGCUCAUGCAAUAGGUCCCAACAGACCAAACCAAACCAAAAUGGAGUCACUCAUGCUAAAUGUAACAUAAUCAAACUAAGACUUUAAGGAAACACAUAAAUCCUAGAACAAACCAGGUUUUGUUUUUCUCCUGUAAACAGGAUGUUCCAGCAUAAGAAGAUAUCUUCUACUCAAGUCCUUGUUCCACCUUUUCAAAUCUCACUGUUCUAUUUCCCAAGGGGUUUCUAAACCAAGUAAGUACAUUUGCAAGGGUAAUAGUGACACCAGUGACUGAAGUUUUGGCCAAUCUCUCAAAAUUGAGAAAAUAACCAAAGGGAAGGCAUUGUUAAAGUGAACUAAGUAUGGCCUGAGAAGGACUCCAUAAUUAUAUGUAUGAGUCCUUGUGGAUGAACUGCAACCUACUUUAAUAGGUAUACAAGAAUGAAAAACUAACUUGAGAGUAUGCACCUGGAACAACAGCUACAUCUUGGCCAAUCCCAAUGGCCAAACUUCAACCACUCAGGCACUGCCAAAUGUUCAAACUGUGUUCAAACAAGGCAAAUGCUGAGUUGUUUCUGUACCUCACUUCCGAUUUCGGUAUGCCAUUUCCCUUUUGUCUAUAAAUCUUCUUGCACCACAUGACUGCGCUGGAGUCUCUGUGAAUCUGCUGUGAUUCUGGGGACUGUCUGAUUCGUGAAUCGUUUAUUGCUCAAUUAAACUCCUUUAAAGUUUUCCUUUUAACAGAACUAACACAGAAGAAUUUCCAGAUCCAUGACCAGACGUUUUGUAAUAUCCAACCUUGUAUUAACAUGAAUAGACUCUUCCUUAGAUAGCUAACCUUGUUUUUAAUAUGAACAGACUCUCCCUUAGCUGAGAAAACCAGACAAACUCCAUUUGGCUCCUUCAUUUACAAGACAUCAAGGGCUCCUUACCCACCCCCUUUCCUCAAGUACUUUAACUUGUGCAAGCUGAUUUUCAACAUAUCAAAGAGUACAAUUAACUGAUAAAAAGCUGAGACAAGCGAUGUCCACAGUUCCCAGCAAAUUACUCAGAGAUAGUAUCAUAAAGCCCCCACAUUUUUCUGGCAGAUAAUGCCCAGAGCCCCCUCACCUAUCACUUUGUGGUGAAUUUAAAGCCCCUGCACCUGGAACAGUUUGUUUUCCUGUAACCAUAAGUCUUUUUAACAUUUUUGUCGUUUUUUUCUUCUGUAAAGUUGCUGCAGCUAGAAUCCCCCGUCCCCUGUCUAAACCAAAGUAUAAAAGAAAAUCUAUUCCCUUCUUCAGGGCCAAGAGAAUUUUGUGCAUUAGCCAUCUCUCAGUCACCGGCUAAUAAAGGACACCCGAAUUCAUCUCAAAGUGUGGCGUUUCUCUUUAACUCACUCAGACACCCAUAAACUCAGAAAAUACAGUGUAAAACAAACUGAAGAACAAAUAAACAACUCACCAGAGAUUUAUUCAUUUCCUGUUGCUCUUGGAAACACCCAGAGGACACUGGAAACAUAGCUGGGAUAGAAGGCAAAUGACGUGGAUUAAGGAGAGAACUGGUGUGGUGUGCUCCCAGAUUCUUCUGCCCAACACUCUAGACACAUUACCUGGGAAAGCCCUCCUCCCUCCUGAAAAAGAAAAACUUCUCCAUGGGAGAAGAGUCCUUCAUGCCUCAUUAGGGGCAGCAAAGACUCAAGUUAAGAUAAGAUACAUCUACAAGUACAUUAAUUGGUAGACAUUAGAUGCACAAUUUAUUUUUGAAUAAAAAUAUGUAUUACCUACUAAUUUAGUAACAAUAUUAUCUAAAGA